CCCUUAGAUGUUCUGGGCCGCACGCGAGCUACACUGACGAAUGCAACGAGCUUAUAACCUUGGCCGAAAGGUCUGGGUAAUCUCCAAAUUUCGUCGUGAUGGGGAUAGAUUAUUGCAAUUAUUAAUCUUCAACGAGGAAUGCCUAGUAAGCGCAAGUCAUCAGCUUGCGUUGAUUACGUCCCUGCCCUUUGUACACACCGCCCGUCGCUCCUACCGAUUGAAUGGUCCGGUGAAGCGCUCGGACCGCGGCCUCUUGACGGUUCGCUGUCGAUUGGCUGUGGGAAGUUCGUUAAACCUUAUCAUUUAGAGGAAGGAGAAGUCGUAACA
rnacentral:rRNA from 1 species